GCCACUGACUUUCACUGCACGGAUGCUCUCAGGUGUGUCUGUCCCAAACCGCACACUGCUACCAAGGAAUGCAAGAUGAGGCGUUUCUACCAAAUGUACCAAUUUGAUCCUGGAAAAGUAACCCUAAGAGAAACAAGAAAACAUCACCGACAUGUUCUCUGCAGCGGGGGCUGUGGAAUACAGCAACAGAAACCCUGGAGAGACGGAGGUGGAUGUAAUAAUGGACACAACUUUUGUUUCGCUGUACUGGGGGAGCGGACAGUGCUGGGUCUCAAACACAAGGCCUCGUGCAUACCAGGCGAGAGCUACAGGCCCAACCAAACCGUUUUUAAAGGCUAUUUCACCACUGGAACAGCCAAGGAGUAGAUAACCAGGGAAUGAGCAACAUCAAGACGGUCUAAGACGUAACCAGGGCUCAAUAUCCCGGACGUCCACUAACUGCUGAGAGCCAGCGAAGUCUAAUGCUCACACUGAGCUACCAAAGCCAGAUGCUCAGAAGUGCCCUGAAAACACGCAGCAC